GAGACUGAGCUCAGGAUUCCUAAAGGCUCCAGUUAGAGCCAUGAACCCUUUGAUGGUUGCAAAAGCCUUAGGUGGAAAGCUUACAUGUUUCGAGAGGGAUUGGCUACGGAAAGAUCUGAACGUGAUUGGGUUUGGGUUGAUCGGAUGGUUAGCACCUUCCAGUAUUUCGGCGAUCAACGAACUCUUUCCAGCAUUGGGACUGAGCAAUUAAAAUAUAUUUCCGUUUCUUUCUAAUAUUAAUAUACAUAAACAAGUAAACAAACAGGUUAGGGAUGGUUACUUGGCACUUGAGAUUGUUUUUGGCAUUGACUUUUGGACAAAUUGGAUUCAAGGGCAGGACUGAAGAUUACUUCAGUAAAUAAAUAAAUUAAUUCUAAUUAAGAAAAUAAUAAUAUGUAAAAA